UCACUCAUCGUCUAGUGGUUUAGGACAAUCGGCUGUUAACCGGUUAACCAGGGUUCGAAUCCCUGUGAGUGAA
rfam:Ostreococcus tauri virus OtV5, complete genome.